CAACUUCAGCUUGUUCAGGAUUGAUGAAGUGCACGUGUGUAUCGAUACCGCCGGCAGUAACAAUUUUACCUUCAGCAGCAAUAAUAUCAGUUGUUGCACCAAUGAUGAUGUCAACGUUAUCCAUUAUAUCUGGGUUUCCAGCUUUACCGAUCUUAAAAAUAUAACCAUUUUUAAUUCCGAUAUCUGCUUUAACAAUCUUGUCAUAAUCAAUAAUUAAUGCGUUAGUUAAAACUAAAUCGGCUACAUUUUUAUCAUCUCUUGUCACAUUAGGAUUUUGAGCCAUACCAUCACGAAUUG
rfam:Staphylococcus epidermidis RP62A, complete genome.